GAAUGCGAUACUUGGUGUGAAUUGCAGAAUCCCGUGAACCAUCGAGUCUUUGAACGCAAGUUGCGCCCGAAGCCAUUCGGCCAAGGGCACGCCUGCCUGGGCGUCACGUA
rnacentral:rRNA from 1 species